GAUGAACGCUGGCGGCGUGCCUAAUACAUGCAAGUCGAGCGAACAGACGAGGAGCUUGCUCCUCUGACGUUAGCGGCGGACGGGUGAGUAACACGUGGAUAACCUACCUAUAAGACUUGGAUAACUUCGGGAAACCGGAGCUAAUACCGGAUAAUAUAUUGAACCGCAUGGUUCAAUAGUGAAAGACGGUUUUGCUGUCUCUUAUAGAUGGAUCCGCGCCGCAUUAGCUAGUUGGUAAGGUAACGGCUUACCAAGGCAACGAUGCGUAGCCGACCUGAGAGGGUGAUCGGCCACACUGGAACUGAGACACGGUCCAGACUCCUACGGGAGGCAGCAGUAGGGAAUCUUCCGCAAUGGGCGAAAGCCUGACGGAGCAACGCCGCGUGAGUGAUGAAGGUCUUCGGAUCGUAAAACUCUGUUAUUAGGGAAGAACAAAUGUGUAAGUAACUAUGCACGUCUUGACGGUACCUAAUCAGAAAGCCACGGCUAACUACGUG
rnacentral:rRNA from 1 species